rnacentral:rRNA from 1 species
UUACGGGAGGCAGCAGUGGGGAAUAUUGGACAAUGGGGGCAACCCUGAUCCAGCGACGCCGCGUGUGUGAAGAAGGCCUGCGGGUUGUAAAGCACUUUUAGUGGGGAUGAAAAGCACAUCACUAACACUGGUGUGUCUUGACCUAACCCAAAGAAAAAGCACCGGCUAACUCUGUGCCAGCAGCCGCGGUAAUACAGAGGGUGCGAGCGUUAAUCGGAAUUACUGGGCGUAAAGCGUGCGUAGACGGUUAUUUAAGUCGGGUGUGAAAGCCCCGGGCUCAACCUGGGAAUUGCAUUCGAGACUGAAUAGCUAGGGUACGGUAGAGGGAAGUGGAAUUUCCGGUGUAGCGGUGAAAUGCGUAGAUAUCGGAAGGAACAUCAGUGGCGAAAGCGACUUCCUGGACCAGUACCGACGUUCAGGCACGAAAGCGUGGGGAGCAAACAGGAUUAGAUACCCCGGUAGC